rnacentral:rRNA from 1 species
UACGAAGGGGGCUAGCGUUGCUCGGAAUCACUGGGCGUAUAGCGCACGUAGGCGGAUCUUUAAGUCAGGGGUGAAAUCCCAAGGCUCAACCUUGGAACUGCCUUUGAUACUGGGGAUCUCGAGUCCGGAAGAGGUGAGUGGAACUGCGAGUGUAGAGGUGAAAUUCGUAGAUAUUCGCAAGAACACCAGUGGCGAAGGCGGCUCACUGGUCCGGUACUGACGCUGAGGUGCGAAAGCGUGGGGAGCAAACAGG